CGGGUGAGUAACGCGUGGAAAACCUGCCGUAUACUGGGGGAUAACACUUAGAAAUAGGUGCUAAUACCGCAUAAGCGCACAGCUUCGCAUGAGGUGGUGUGAAAAACUCUGGUGGUAUACGAUGGUUCCGCGUCUGAUUAGCUUGUUGGUGGGGUAAUGGCUCACCAAGGCGACGAUCAGUAGCCGGCCUGAGAGGGUGAACGGCCACAUUGGGACUGAGACACGGCCCAAACUCCUACGGAAGGCAGCAG
rnacentral:rRNA from 1 species